rnacentral:snRNA from 1 species
UUUCUUUUUGAGGGUAACCUUUAA